AUUCUCAUGAGCGAAGUUUUGGUCACUUGUUGUCGAAUGCUGCAGUUUUGAUUUUUCAAUGUUCUUUGUUUCUUUGCCAUUUAAAAACCAAGCCAUUGAUGAGUGGCUCAGAUAUUUCUUCCCCCCUGGUAGAGAAGGCCUGGUGAUUUCUGUGUGGCCUUUGCUCUUCACAAAUCAGGGCCUGGUUGGAAACAUUGAGAGGCGACAGCUCAGGAGCUUAAGAUUCUGGAUGGAGUGAAGCGUGCCAGAGAAUUUGCUCAUUGGUGAAAGAAGCCAGUUUGAGAAACCAUAGACCAGGUACCAUUGGAUGAGAACCUUAA
rnacentral:lncRNA from 1 species